ACACGUGGCCAACCUAACCUUAGGACGGAGACAACCCCGGGAAACUGGGGACAAUCCCCGAUAGGUGAGAGACGCCUGAGAAUGACCCCUCACCCAAAAGACGUUGGAACCAUGCUUUUCAGCGUUGCCUAAGGACGGGGCCGCGGCCGAUCAGGCUGUUGGCGAGGCAAAGGCUCACCAAACCUACAACCGGUACGGGCCAUGAGAGUGGGAGCCCGGAGAUGGGCACUGAGACAAGGGCCCAGGCCCUACGGGGCGCAGCAGUUGCGAAAACUCCACAAUGCACGAAAGUGCGAUGGGGCUAACCCGAGUGCCGUCCGCUGAGGACGGCUUUUCUCCGCUGUAAGGAGGCGGAGGAAGAGGGAGAGGGCAAGACUGGUGUCAGCCGCCGCGGCAAUACCAGCUCUCCGAGUGGUAGGGACAAUUAUUGGGCUUAAAGCGUUCGUAGCCGGCCUGAAAAGUCUCUCGUCAAAUCCAGCGACCCAAUCGCUGGGCUGCGGGAGAUACUGUCAGGCUUGGGAGCGGGAGAGGCCGACGGUAUCUCGGGGUAGGGGUGAAAUCCUAUAAUCCCGGGAGGACCACCAGUGGCGAAGGCUGUCGGCUAGAACGCGUCCGACGGUGAGGGACGAAAGCUGGGGGAGCGAACCGGAUUAGAUACCCGGGUAGUCCCAGCUGUAAACGAUGCGGGCUAGGUGUCGGUGUGGCUACGAGCCACUCCGGUGCCGCAGGGAAGCUCAUAAGCCCGCCGCCUGGGAAGUACGGUCGCAAGGCUGAAACUUAAAGGAAUUGGCGGGGGAGCACCACCAGGGGUGAAGCUUGCGGUUCACUUGGAGUCAACGCCGGGAACCUUACCGGGGGAGACAGCAGGUUGAAGGCCAGAUUGAAGGUCUUGCCAGACGAGCUGAGAGGAGGUGCAUGGCCGUCGCCAGUUCGUGCCGUGAGGUGUCCUGUUAAGUCAGGCAACGAUCGAGACCCGCACCCCCUGUUGCUACCGCUCAUUCGUAAGGAUGGUGGGCACACUGGGGGAACCGCCGCCGACAAGGCGGAGGAAGGUGCGGGCUACGGCAGGUCGGUAUGCCCCGAAACCCUCGGGCCACACGCGAGCUGCAAUGGCAGGGACAAUGGGCUUCGACCCCGAGAGGGGGAGGUAAUCCCUAAACCCUGUCGUAGUUGGGAUCGAGGGCUGCAACCCGCCCUCGUGAAUCAUGG
rnacentral:rRNA from 1 species